GCAAGAAAAUAAGAAAUAAAAAACAAUAGCCUGAAAGUCAGAGAGGCAGACAUGGUUACAGAGGUUAAUAAGGGCACAGAAAAUGUAAAUGUACCUUUAGAGGGCAGUCUAUGCAAACCUACUUCUCCUAGUUCCCUUUAAAAAAAAGUCCAAAUCUGUUUAUCUCCAUACAUCUGUUUUGACUGUUGCAGCAGGUUCCUCCUUUCAUAACAUGAACAUGAAUAUUUGGCAUUUCAUCUGUAUGGUGAUUGUAUCUCAAAAAGGUAUCAGUGGUGAUGAAAUCCGAUUAGAUCAGUCUCCUGCUGUGAUGAAGAGACCUGGAGAAACAGUUAAGAUCUCCUGUAAAAUAUCUGGUUUUACGAUGACAGACUACUACAUGCACUGGAUCAGACAGAAGCCAGGGAAAGCUCUGGAGUGGAUUGGGAGAGUAAACACUGGUAGUGUUGAUUAUGCAGAUACAAUGGAAAACCACUUCACACUGAGUGAGGAUGUGUCUCAAAGUACACAGUAUCUUGAAGCCAAGAGUCUGAGAGAAGAGGACACUGCUGUUUAUUACUGUGCUCGAGAGUCACAGUGA